rnacentral:rRNA from 1 species
GACGAACGCUGGCGGCGUGCCUAAUACAUGCAAGUAGAACGCUGAAGGAGGAGCUUGCUUCUCCGGAUGAGUUGCGAACGGGUGAGUAACGCGUAGGUAACCUGCCUGGUAGCGGGGGAUAACUAUUGGAAACGAUAGCUAAUACCGCAUAACAGUAGAUAUUGCAUGAUAUCUGCUUGAAAGGUGCAAUUGCAUCACUACCAGAUGGACCUGCGUUGUAUUAGCUAGUUGGUGAGGUAACGGCUCACCAAGGCGACGAUACAUAGCCGACCUGAGAGGGUGAUCGGCCACACUGGGACUGAGACACGGCCCAGACUCCUACGGGAGGCAGCAGUAGGGAAUCUUCGGCAAUGGACGGAAGUCUGACCGAGCAACGCCGCGUGAGUGAAGAAGGUUUUCGGAUCGUAAAGCUCUGUUGUAAGAGAAGAACGAGUGUGAGAGUGGAAAGUUCACACUGUGACGGUAUCUUACCAGAAAGGGACGGCUAACUACGU